rnacentral:lncRNA from 1 species
ACCCACCCACAGUCGGGAGGACCCCCAGCCAUGACCCCUUGGGUGCCAUUUCCCUUGGGCACCAGGGACUUGGGACACACCCAGGUAGUGGCAGGCCAGACCUCUGCCCCAUCCUGGAGCCAGGCCCAGAGGCUGAGCCGCUCAGGGUCACCCAGCCCAGCAAGAGCCCACUGUGUUCAGGACCAUCUCCAGGCUGCCCUGGGGGCUGGGCCCCAGCACCCUGAUGCACAUUCUUGGAAGGACGUUCUCAAUCGAGGGGUCUCUGUCCGCCAUGACCACAGAGUUCCAUGUUCUUGCCAACUGAGGGGCCAUGCGCUGCUCUGUCCUCACCCCAGAGGACAGCUCUCCGUUCCAUGCCACGGGCUCGGGGCCUUUGUGUAGGAGGAGGGCAGAGUCCUCAGCCUUGGUCUGGUGUUGAGAUUCGAUGACCCCCAGUGACCUCUCCUCUGACCCUGGGUUCUUCCUCCAAGGUUACAGGAGACUGCUCUGUGUCCCCUGGGGCUGGACAGUCCCUGUUAGGGCCAUGGUGGGAAGGGCCUGGGGCUUAGGUCAGGCUGGCGACCAGUGUCCGCAGCACUUCCUGGCUCUAUCUCUUGGACGGGUCAGAGGCCAGCACUGAGGACAGCUCUGCCUAGGAGGGGACAGCCCUGUACAUCAGCCAAAGGGCAGGAGGACUGCAUGCCAGCCCUAGGUCUGGUGGACAUUGUCCCAGAAUACCACUGUCUGCUCCUCACUAGGGAGGACGCUGGGUCCCACAGGGACCCAGAGUGGCAGGGUGGUGUGGGCAAGGGCACCAUCACAGGGGUGGGCACCCGGUGCCCGGAGUGCUUGGCAGGGCUGAGUGUCCUCAGGAGGCACUGCUGCCCCCUGUGGGGCAGGCAGAUUUUACUGAGGUAGCUGCUGACAGAUGGGCAGGGCGUCCUUUGUUAACCAGAGGGGUCCAUGGGGUGACCCUCCUCCCCCAGGUAUAAGGGUUCUCUUCUGUGUUCUGCGUAUUCAUUUGAAUUUUAUGGAAAGACGACGACACUCCCCACGUGGGAGAACUCAGGGUGGUUUCCUACGCCCACGUCCAGGGGAGGCCGGAGGAGUGGUCCCCUCAGGAAAAGCUGUCGCGGGGCAGGACCCGGCAGCUGGGCGGUGAGAGCGCCACCCUGGGACAGCGCCUGGUCCUCCAGCGCAAGUGCACAUGUACCAUCCCAUGAAACCUGCCCUGGAGACUGUCACAGGGGCUCCUGAGCCAGCUGGAGGAGGCCACCGGCUCCUGGGUCCAGAGCUGGUGGCCAGGGGGCACCUCCCAUCCGGCCCCUCCCCGAGUCCUCCCCGCAAUGCCAAGAGUCAGCCCUCCUCAGAGGCAGAGGAGACGGACAGGGGUGACCUGCAACUCCAUGUCAGGAGCCCUUUGCUCCAACGAAGAGUGGCCUCCAGAGCUGGGGUCCCCGUCCCCCUUGUAAGGAGCUCAGUGCCGCUUUUCAUAGACAUCUUGGGCCUCCGGUUUCCUUCCUGCCCACUGCCAGCCUCACCACCAGCCUGAGGUGAAUCCCGCCCCCCACUGGCCCUAUGGGGACAGGGACUAGUGACCAGCUCUCAGAAUGCAAGCUGGGAAGGGGGUGGAGUGCUCACUGUGGCCAAGGUGUGGGCAAGGCGUGGCCCCCACGGGUUCAGGUGUGGGAACUUGGUCCUCAGUGCAGCCACGUUGGGAGGAGAGGGGCCAGGGCAGGUUCCUAGGUCACUGAAGACCCCCCAGGAGGGCGAAUAGCUCGUGUGGGCCCCUGAGCUCUCUUGAGAGCUGUUGUUACAGGGUGAGCUAAUACUCGGCUCGCAAGAGGGCCUGGGUUCAAUUC